rnacentral:rRNA from 1 species
AUUGAACGCUGGCGGCAGGCCUAACACAUGCAAGUCGAACGAGUGGCGGACGGGUGAGUAAUGUCUGGGAAACUGCCUGAUGGAGGGGGAUAACUACUGGAAACGGUAGCUAAUACCGCAUACCAUCGGAUGUGCCCAGAUGUGAUUAGCUAGUAGGUGGGGUAACGGCUUACCUAGGCGACGAUCCCUAGAUGGUCUGAGAGGAUGACCAGCCACCCUGGGACUGAGACACGGUCCAGACUCCGACGGGGUUCAGCAGUGGGGAAUAUUUCACAAUGGGCGCAAGCCUGAUGCAGCCAAGCCGCGUGUAUGAAGAAGGCCUUCGGGUUGUAAAGUACUUUCAGUGAGGAGGCGUUACUCGCAGAAGAAGCACCGGCUAACUCCGUGCCAGCAGCCGCGGUAAUUC